UUGAAUGAUGAUUGAACAAAAACAAAGCUGGAAUUACUGGCUGAACGAUUAUAUGUUGAUACGUUUUUGCACUACUUCUGACU
rnacentral:snoRNA from 1 species